rnacentral:pre_miRNA from 1 species
GGGGGGUGUGACCCCGUGCUCCCUGGGGGGUGUGAUGCCAUGCUCCCUGGGGGGUGUGAUCCCGCACUAGCU